CUGGCGGCAGGCUUAACACAUGCAAGUCGAACGGUAACAUAAAGGAGCUUGCUUCUUUGAUGACGAGUGGCGGACGGGUGAGUAAUGCUUGGGAAUCUAGCUUAUGGAGGGGGAUAACUACGGGAAACUGUAGCUAAUACCGCGUAGAAUCGGGAGAUGAAAGUGUGGGACCUUCGGGCCACAUGCCAUAGGAUGAGCCCAAGUGGGAUUAGGUAGUUGGUGAGGUAAAGGCUCACCAAGCCGACGAUCUCUAGCUGGUCUGAGAGGAUGACCAGCCACACUGGGACUGAGACACGGCCCAGACUCCUACGGGAGGCAGCAGUGGGGAAUAUUGCGCAAUGGGGGCAACCCUGACGCAGCCAUGCCGCGUGAAUGAAGAAGGCCUUCGGGUUGUAAAGUUCUUUCGGUAGCGAGGAAGGCAUUUAGUUUAAUAGACUAGGUGAUUGACGUUAACUACAGAAGAAGCACCGGCUAACUCCGUGCCAGCAGCCGCGGU
rnacentral:rRNA from 1 species